UAAGAAAUUGACCCAUCAGCAGUAG
rnacentral:piRNA from 1 species